rnacentral:lncRNA from 1 species
AGAUAUUCCAUAGGCAGUACUCUUCUGGAGGCAUGCCGACUGCCAAGAAGACAUCCUGUAAAGAGAGUAGCAUUUUACUACCUAAAUCACGUCCUGGAGGCAGAAGUGGACCUAGAAAUCCUUCAUAAAAAGGCCGACUGCCAAGAAGAUAUCCCACAGGCAGAAGUGAAGCAAGUACUCUUUUGGAUCCAGACUACUGCUAAGAAGACAUUUGGAGGCAAGUGGACGUUGAGGUUCCUCAGAGGCAGGCCAACUGCCAAAAAGAUAUCCCACUGGCAGAAAUGGUGCAAGAACUCUUUUGAAAGCAGGACGACUGCCAAGAAGCAGACAUAGGACUGGGCAGACGCGGGAACCCUGGUACAUUCUGGAUUUGCUGUUGCGUCCCUCCACCCACGGACUUCAGUACACUGCUUUUCCGAGAGACUGAUGGGACGAGUUUUUGUCUAAUGGUGGCUCCACAGUCUCUCCGCUUUCGCGUAGGUCCCCGCCGACUGUACUGUGGAGUAGGUUCGGUGCUAGGGCCUGGCUGUCCAGUCAGGAAGGUUGUUGCAGCAACAUACCAGCUAGUUAGGGCUGUUACACUCUGUGGCUCCACGUCUUUCUCAGCAUCCCCCAGUAAGCCAAAUGCUGACUGCACUUGACUGGUAGAUUUCAGGUGUUAGGCUAGAUAGGGACCCCUCAUGCAUGCCCUGCAUGAUGCUGUCAUACAGAUGACAUAACUUAGUGCUUACCCACCAUCUAUUCCUUCAGUAGGUAGUUCCCAGACAGAGCAAGUCCCGCAUGGUCACUUUGGGAUGCAGUGUACUGGCCGACUGGGGCCGCCAGCUGACACAUGGACGUCUGUAUGUGCGCGCUGGGCCCCUCCCUCCUCCGUGACCAUCUCGCCAAACGGAUGCUAGGUGCUCUUGCAAAGGAGGACGCAGGCAUGGAGCGGUCCACUUUAAGGAGGACGCAGGCGUGGAGCGGUCCACUUUUAGGAGGACGCAGGCAUGGAGCGGUCCACUUUAAAGAGGACGCAGGCAUGGAGCGGGCAUGGAGCGGUCCACUUUAAGGAGGACGCAGGCGUGAAGCGGUCCACUUUAAGGAGGACAAAGCCUGGAUCCAGGAUGAAGAUGUGUGCACUCCCCAACUCUGGGAGCUGGAGUUCAAUGAAUCUGUAGCUGUAUCCAUCUCCGGCCAUGUACACACAUGUAUAUCCUCUGUUGUGUAUGUGACCCAUGUGUCCCACGUGUACGGAUAUCAGGAAAGGAUAACUGGAUUUUGUACAAGCAACAUAGCUGGUUAUGCAGUGUUCUCAUUGUUCAUCACUUAUCCAUGUCCUGUUUCAUGGGAAGGAGUGGAAAUGCUGCUCACGUGUGUGUGUUCGUUGGCUGCAUUAUGUGUAUGUUUAACUGUUGAUAUAUUUUGUGACAAUGUAUUGUGUGUGUCUGCUACUGUAAACCCUCCAGUAGAGGAGGUAGUGAUGCAUACGUUGAGGGAACACGGUUCCAGAGUUUUUUCUCAAAAAUGUUUUAUCUCUGGUUUUACGUGUCGGGCUUCAGCUACCAUUGACCGUUUUCAAAUGUACGUCUAAAAUAUACUUACAUACUGUGCAGCAACCGCCAAAUGUCGGUGGUUUUUCGCAGUGUGUGUUGUUUAUGUUCGUGCAAAUAGAGAAUUUGGUAUUGUGCCAUGUUGGGAAUGAUGACAUUAAAAAGCCGUGAACCGCACAGCUGAUCCAA